GGGGGAGGUUUUCGGGAGUUCUGGGGCGUAAGCGCACGCAGGCGGUCGUGUAAGUUUGGGGUUACAGCUCCCGGCUCAACUGGGAGAGCGCCUUGAAGACUGCAGGACUUGAGGGCCAGAGAGGGACACAGAAUUCCGGGUGUAGUGGUGAAAUGCGUAGAUAUCCGGAGGAAUACCAAAGGCGAAGGCAGUGUCCUGGCUGGUGACUGACGCUGAGGUGCGAAAGCUAGGGGAGCGAACGGGAUUAGAUACCCCGGUAGUCCUAGCCGUAAACGAUGACCACUAGGUGUGGGAGGUAUCGACCCCUUCCGUGCCGCAGCUAACGUGAUAAGUGGUCCGCCUGGGGAGUACGGUCGCAAGAUUAAAACUCAAAGGAAUUGACGGGGACCCGCACAAGCAGCGGAGCGUGUGGUUUAAUUCGAAGCAACGCGAAGAACCUUACCAGGGUUUGACAUGGAUGCGCACCAUCCAGAGAUGGGUGUGCCCGCAAGGGACGCAUUCACAGGUGCUGCAUGGCUGUCGUCAGCUCGUGCCGUGAGGUGUUGGGUUAAGUCCCGCAACGAGCGCAACCCCUGUCGUCGGUUGGACUUCUCCGACGAGACUGCCGCGAUCAACGUGGAGGAAGGUGGGGAUGACGUCAAGUCAGCACGGCCCUUACAUCCUGGGCGACACACACGCUACAAUGGCCGGUACAGAGGGUGGCGAACUCGCGAGGGGGAGCUAAUCCCAACAAAACCGGUCUCAGUUCGGAUUGUAGGCUGCAACCCGCCUGCAUGAAAGUUGGAGUUGCUAGUAACCGUGAGUCAGCACAUCACGGUGAAUACGUUCCCGGGUCUUGUACACACCGCCCGUCACACCACGAAAGUCGGCAACACCUGAAGCCGCUGGGCUAACCCCUUUGCUGGGGAGGCAGGCGUCGAGGGUGGGGUUGGUGAUUGGGGUGAAGUCGUAACAAGGUAACC
rnacentral:rRNA from 1 species